rnacentral:rRNA from 1 species
AGUGGCAAACGGGUGAGUAACGCGUGGGCGACCUACCUUCGAGUGGGGGAUAACCUUCCGAAAGGAGGGCUAAUACCGCAUGACAUCCCGUGUUUGGAUACACGGAGAUCAAAGCCGGGGAUCGCAAGACCUGGCGUUUGGAGAGGGGCCCGCGUCCGAUUAGCUAGUUGGUGAGGUAACGGCUCACCAAGGCUCCGAUCGGUAUCCGGCCUGAGAGGGCGGACGGACACACUGGAACUGAGACACGGUCCAGACUCCUACGGGAGGCAGCAGUGGGGAAUUGUUCGCAAUGGGCGAAAGCCUGACGACGCAACGCCGCGUGGAGGAUGAAGACCUUCGGGUCGUAAACUCCUUUCGACCGAGAUGAAUUCCCUCCGACCUAACACGUCGGAGGGGUGACAGUAUCGAGGGAAGAAGCCCCGGCUAACUCUGUGCCAGCAGCCGCGGUAAUACAGGGGGGGCAAGCGUUGUUCGGAAUUACUGGGCGUAAAGGGUUUGUAGGUGGCUUGCUAAGUCAGACGUGAAAUCCCUCAGCUUAACCGGGGAACUGCGUCUGAUACUGGAGAGCUUGAGUGCAGGAGAGGAACGCGGAAUUCCAGGUGUAGCGGUGAAAUGCGUAGAUAUCUGGAGGAACACCGGUGGCGAAGGCGGCGUUCUGGACUGCAACUGACACUGAGAAACGAAAGCCAGGGGAGCAAAC